rnacentral:lncRNA from 1 species
CUCCAUCAUCUUUGUUUUUGCAUGAAUCGCUUCGCUCCCUCUUUGAUACCGAACUCCAUGGUUCAAAUAUGAAAUCUGGAACUCAGGCACAAAAAUAAACGAGUCAUUGUAUAUUUUCGUAAGAGUGCUUCUCAUUGAGUCAUCCCGUAUUUUUGAAUAUCUCUAGUAAGAUUGUUGUUGCCACUGCAUAUGUUGCAUUAUGUCCAUCAACUUUGAAAGCUCAUCUCGAAGAUCUGGGCGAGGCGAUUGAGUUUGAUCAUUGAAGUUGCGACGUCAGGUUUGAUUACUA